rnacentral:rRNA from 1 species
CUUUCCUACGGGAGGCAGCAGUGGGGAAUAUUGCACAAUGGGGGAAACCCUGAUGCAGCAACGCCGCGUGAGUGAAGAAGUAUUUCGGUAUGUAAAGCUCUGUCAGCAGGGAAGAAAGAAAUGACGGUACCCGACCAGGAAGCCCCGGCUAACUACGUGCCAGCAGCCGCGGUAAUACGUAGGGGGCAAGCGUUAUCCGGAAUUACUGGGUGUAAAGGGAGCGUAGACGGCAAUGCAAGUCCGGAGUGGAAUGCGGCAGCUCAACUGCCGAACUGCUCUGGAAACUGUAUGGCUUGAGUGCAGGG